rnacentral:misc_RNA from 1 species
UCAAGAAGUACAUACAAGUAAUAUUAAUUAUAAUAUACGUAAUAAUUUGUUAUAUUUUAUUAUAUGUUUUGGAAAGGGCAUUGAGGUAAGUCCAGCCACCAUCUAUGUUAUAUUUUGGUGUGAAGAAACUGAGGCAUUCAUGUGGGAAGAAAACGGGAGAGUCAUAUAGAUUGAGAGCUUCAUCCCCUCUUUAAACAGCCUCAGAGCCUUGCAGAGAGCUGAUAUAAGAAGGAGAAGAAUUAAGAAGAAGAAGAGAGGAGGAUAAUAAAGAAAGAAAGCUGAAGAUUUUCUUUUAUUUUUUUUUAUCAGGACAAUAGGGAAAGAAUUAACCAUGGUUUCUAGGGAGAACAAGAGAGCAGCACUGCAUGAGAAGCUGCAACUUCUUCGUUCCAUUACUAACUCUCAUGCUCUAAACAAAACCUCAAUCAUCAUGGAUGCAACCAAGUACAUUGAAGAGCUAAAACAGAAGGUAGAGAGACUGAAUCAAGAUAUGGAAGCUGCACAAACUUCGAGCCACCGAAAUCCAUUGCCUAUGGUUACAGUAGAAACCCUAGAGAAGGGUUUUCUGAUAAAUGUAUUUUUAGAUAGGAGUUGCCCUGGCUUGCUUGUCUCCAUAUUGGAAGCAUUUGAAGAACUGGGUCUUAAUGUGCAGGAAGCUAGGGUUUCUUGUACUGAUAGUUUUCGAUUACAAGCAGUUGGAGGGGAGAACGAAGAACAAGGCGAAUGCAUGGAUGCUCAGGUGGUGAAACAAGCAGUGUUGCAGGCUAUUAAGAAUUGGAAUGAGAGUACUGAACAAGAGUAAUAUAUAUAUAUAUAUAUGAUCAAAGUCUUGUUUUUAUAAAUUAAUAUCGUUAAUUAAUUGUCAUUUUAAUUUCCAUCACUUUUCUUUAAUCUAUUGUUGAGGCUAGCUUGUUUAGGUUGAGAGUGUUGUUAAUCAAGAGAUGAAAUGCUCCGAAUUUAAGUCAUAAUUCGGGGAAGGCAAAUUUAGAAAUGAAAUGCAAUUAUAUAUAUAUAAAAUCAAAUGUGUGUUUUCUCUAAGAGUAGAAGAAUUGAAGUGAAAAAGCAUUGGCCUUUGUUCGUCUUCUUGCAAUGAAAAUACAGAACAAUUUCAAGUUGUUUAGGGUAGGAUGCUUCCAUUUGUGUGAAAUGCACUUAGUACUAUAUCAAACAAUGAUAAGCUCAUCACAAGUUGUUUGGCAAGCAGUUGAGUUUUUGUUUUCAUGUGAAAUUCUAAAGAAUCAAAAUGAUUCCAUAUGAUAUUAUAUGGCUGGCCAUUACAUACUUUUUCAGCUAGUACAUUGUCCAUCAGCAAUGUCAUCAUUAAUUAUUCCUUGUACAUAUAUAUAUCACAGAAAAAAAUAGAUAUUCGAACAUAAAUAUUUAAAUAUUAAGUCUUUUUAUUGCAUUCUUUCAAAAAAAAAUAUUAAGUCUUUUUAUUGCAUUCUUUCAAAAAAAAAGGAUGCAAAUUUAAAGCCAAAUUGAUUUUGUUUUCUUCUUGAUCAAAGCUUAUAUAUAGGAUUCCACACAUGAAUGAAUUCUUGGUAAUUAAUUUAGUGUCAAGCAAUGGUCUCAUUUCUCCGCCAGCUUUUGGCAUCCAUCAAGAAUGCCCUGGUAAUGUGCACAGCUAGAUGUGGGUUUUUGGAUACAAAUGUUUCAUAUUUAGCUGAAAAACAAUAUCCUCCAUGUUCUUAACAAUAAAAUUCAAGGCAGUCUCCUUCAAUAUUUUGUUGGAACACGCAUCUGAGAUCUUAAGGACAUCAAGAGCAUUAGAUAAGACGAGGGAUCUAAGCAUGUAUCUCUCACAGAAUUUCAGCAAGAAUGGAAUUUCAUAUUUAUCUGCUGCUAGUGUCAAUGAGUAGAUAUGCUUCUCCACCUUCUCUGCAGCCAAGCUUCCACUGUAGAGAAAUUCCAGGAGAGACUCCAGCUCUUCAUGGUUUAACUCAGGAAUUGUUAUUGUGUCAUUUGCUGGGGCUUUGCAUGCAUCUGAAUCUAGCAUGUUCUUGAAUAUUUCUGAUCUUGCUGCCAGUAACGCUCUGUGCGCAGAAAUGGAAGGACCACCAUUUCCAGGUUUGAGUUGGAUGUCAGUAAGAAUUCGAUCUCUAAAUAAAGAAACAAAGCCACUGAGGAAAUUUAUUUUUUCAUUCAGUUCAUCUUCUGUUUCCUUCAUAUUGUUCAUCCAUUUUGGAAGAUUUGCUAGUGGCUGAGGCUUGCACGAAUUUGGGAAAGAAACAACAGAAGUAUUGGCUUUGUCACUUCCUUUAUCGUUUUCAAAUUUGUUCAUCAAAGUGAUUACAGUUUUAGCUCCGUCAUAGCAUGAUCCACAUAUGGUAUUUCUUGGAGGCCUAAGAAUAGAAGGCAUGGAGCUACAAAUAGAGCAAUCCAUUUUCCUCUUUGUUGGGAUACCCAGAAGAAAUAAAAAUAUGAAGAUGAUGUUAAAGGUGAGGAGGAGGAGGAGGUGGAGGAGGAGGAGGUGACGAGAGGCCUAGUGAAGAGGGUGAGGCGUUUGAGCAGCUUUGUAGGAAGGACCUUGGUGGCCAUCAAAGGCGGAGAUGCAGAUUCUUACAGAGUCUAGGAAUUUUUGUUUGAAAAGUAGUAAUGGU